rnacentral:misc_RNA from 1 species
AACUGAUACUACCUGCGGGAACCUGCGGAAGGAUCAUUACAUGAUUUGAGGGGGCUCGCGUCCCCUCAUCCAACCCACAAACCCCGAGGAAACUUUAUGUCGAGUGGUUCGGCGCUCUCUUUGAGAGCCGCCCCUCAAACGCAUCGCAGGCUUUUCGUGAGGGUCUGAUGUGUCACAUCGUGAGUAUAAAAACUUUCAACAACGGAUCUCU